rnacentral:snoRNA from 1 species
UUGUCCUGGCCUAUGCUCUCUCUGCUCCCCUGUGCUCAGUUCCAACAGGGGAGUCUGGCAGGACACACAGCAAUCUCCCUCUCAGUUUAGGAGGGCCGUCCUGAGUAUAGGGCUGGCUCUUAAAGGCACGAGAGGACAAU